rnacentral:ncRNA from 12 species
AUAUAUUGAGGUGAGCAACAGUUCUCACGCACCUUAUGGGUUAAAAGAGAUGUAGGUACAGCUGGACCUACCAAUAUAU